rnacentral:rRNA from 1 species
UACGUAGGGUCCAAGCGUUAUCCGGAAUCACUGGGCGUAAAGCGUGCGUAGGCGGAUGUUUAAGUGUGAUGUUAAAUCGUGUGGCUCAACCAUAUCGAUGCAUCGCAUACUGGGCAUCUAGAGGACGGCAGAGGCAAGUGGAACUCGUAGUGUAGCAGUGAAAUGCGUAGAUAUUACGAAGAACACCAAUGGCGAAGGCAGCUUGCUGGGCCGACCCUGACGCUGAGGUACGAAAGCGUGGGGAGCGAACAGG